rnacentral:lncRNA from 1 species
AAAGCACCCUGGGUUCAAUCCCCAGUAACAGAAAACAAAACAAAACAAAAUCACAGUAAUUCGAUGUGGAAGUAAAGGCAUCUAAGGACCUGGAGUGCUUUUGGUCACAUUCAGAAGUGAAACACAUGAAAUUUUAUUAAGUUAUUUUCUUCUUGCAUCUUAUGAAAUAUUAUUCUUGUGUUAAGAUUAAUGCUUUGGGGGCUGGGGAUGUGGCUCAAGCGGUAGCGUGCUCGCCUGGCAUGCGUGUGGCCCGGGUUCGAUCCUCAGCACCACAUACAAACAAAGAUGUUGUGUCCGCUGAAAACUAAAAAAUAAAUAUUAAAAACAAAACAAAAAAACCAAGAUUAAUGCUUUAGCCUGGCGCAGUAGUGCACACCUGUAAUCCCAGUGGCUUGGGAGGCUGAGGCAGGAGGAUCCUGAGUUCAAAGCCAGCCUCAGCAAAAGUGAGGUGCCAAGCAACUCAGUGAGACCCUGUCUCUAAAUAAAAUAUAAAAUAGGAUUGGGGAUGUGGCUCAGUGGUCAAGUACUCCUGAGUUCAAUCCCUAGUACCCCACUUAAUGCUAUUGGUUUUCAGCUAUGGCUUUUAUUUAAAAAAAUUCAAGAAGAUAUUACAAAAUAAUUUAUAAAAAGGGAAAUAUUGGGUUUGAGUGAGAACCGCUGAGGUACAGCAUGAGGUAGAAGAUGCCAAAGAGAGCCAGGAAUGGUGGGGCAAGCCUGUGACCUCAGCACCUCGGAAGACUCAGGCAAGAUCACAAGUUCGAGUCAACCUUAGUGAGAUCUUAUCUCAAAGUUUA